rnacentral:rRNA from 1 species
UGCAAGUCGAGCGAACAGAUAAGGAGCUUGCUCCUUUGACGUUAGCGGCGGMCGGGUGAGUAACACGUGGAUAACCUACCUAUAAGACUGGGAUAACUUCGGGAAACCGGAGCUAAUACCGGAUAACAUAUUGAACCGCAUGGUUCAAUAGUGAAAGGCGGCUUUGCUGUCACUUAUAGAUGGAUCCGCGCCGUAUUAGCUAGUUGGUAAGGUAACGGCUUACCAAGGCAACGAUACGUAGCCGACCUGAGAGGGUGAUCGGCCACACUGGAACUGAGACACGGUCCAGACUCCUACGGGAGGCAGCAGUAGGGAAUCUUCCGCAAUGGGCGAAAGCCUGACGGAGCAACGCCGCGUGAGUGAUGAAGGUCUUCGGAUCGUAAAACUCUGUUAUCAGGGAAGAACAAAUGUGUAAGUAACUGUGCACAUCUUGACGGUACCUGAUCAGAAAGCCACGGCUAACUACGUGCCAGCAGCCGCGGUAAUACGUAGGUGGCAAGCGUUAUCCGGAAUUAUUGGGCGUAAAGCGCGCGUAGGCGGUUUUUUAAGUCUGAUGUGAAAGCCCACGGCUCAACCGUGGAGGGUCAUUGGAAACUGGAAAACUUGAGUGCAGAAGAGGAAAGUGGAAUUCCAUGUGUAGCGGUGAAAUGCGCAGAGAUAUGGAGGAACACCAGUGGCGAAGGCGACUUUCUGGUCUGUAACUGACGCUGAUGUGCGAAAGCGUGGGGAUCAAACAGGAUUAGAUACCCUGGUAGUCCACGCCGUAAACGAUGAGUGCUAAGUGUUAGGGGGUUUCCGCCCCUUAGUGCUGCAGCUAACGCAUUAAGCACUCCGCCUGGGGAGUACGACCGCAAGGUUGAAACUCAAAGGAAUUGACGGGGACCCGCAC